GGUGGACAGGACCCGAAAAACUGGCCCAAUCCGUGUUAGCCCAACAAAAAAAACCGAACCGGGUCGGGUUCAAGCAAAAAACGGGUUUCGCGGGUCUAAACAUCGGUUUCAUAUGACUAGAGAUGGGCGGGUCCGGUUUUGGUUUUGUCAACCACGGAUAACCGAACCGACCCAUCAUUUAAUAUAUAUAUAUUUUUUAUUACUAAUAAUAAUUAAUAACUAUAAUGACGCCGUUUCAUCGUUUGAUCUAUUCCUUUUGUUUCCUCUCCCACUCACACUUUGUUAUUUUUCCAAACCCUAGCAGAGUGAAACACUCAGCCGCCGUCACUCGUUCCUUCGUUUUCUCCACUCGUUCGUUCGAUUUCCCUCCACCGCCGUCGAACUCAAAGUAUCCACCAUCUAUCUCCUCCAUUUUCUUCGUUUUCGAUUUCUUUAUUGGGUUUUUCGUUUUCGAUUUCUUUACAUAAGAAGAAAGAUAUAAAACUCCUCAUGGCUGAGAAACAAAGAGGCUACACUUCUUUGCGAGGUUGAAGGCGUAGACAAAGAAAUAACAUCUCCGUGCUUCUGGUUUGAGGAUCCUUAGUCCUUGUUUUAACUAUAAAAAUAGAUAUUUAUCCCAGGAAACUCUAAGAUUUGGAGGCUUGAAGGAAGAACCAUCAUCCUUUUAUUGUUGUGCAGGAGUUACAUCAAGAGUAGAGUGAAAAUGAAAAUUGAAAAGUGAUGUUGGUAUUGAAAUGAAUAUAAAUCCCAAUCUAGUUCUUCAAGUGUUUAUGAAUUAUUCAGUCAAAAAAUAAAGUGUUUAUGAAUUAUAAGUGUUGUAAUAUUUUUUAUUAGUGUUUUGUUGAGUAUAUACUAUUGUUUAUGUUUAUAAAUGUAUUUUAUA